AACCAAGAUGAUCCGGAGAAAAGCAGUUUUGGUCGAUAUGGUCAAAUGAGCUGGAGGAGAGCUAAGGAAGCCAAAUGAAGAUGUGCAAAGAUGAGAAAGAAGUUCAAAGGGAUGUUUUACACAUUUCCUCAGGUUUUGAAAGUGGUCAACUCAGAAGUCAAAGUCAACCAAAGUCAAAAGAGAGAGAAAGUGCCUUAUUGGUCCAUUUACCACUUCCGAGCAACCAAUAGGAGCAUGCCACGUGUAGGAGAAAAAAUUCCUUCAAACCUGGAAAAGGUGUGGAAUAAAUCAAGGGAUUUUUGAGUGAAGAAAUCAUGGGCAAAAGACAUCUAGAGAGCAAGAAAUCAUGAAUACACGUUUUAUACCCGAAAUGGGCUAUAAAUGGCAAAGAAGACAUGGGCUGGAGAAAUGGGUUUCUACCUCAACACCUCUACAUCUAAGGUUCAUUUAGGACCCAAAUGAAGUAAUGGAGCAGGCUGGAACAAUCACUUGAAGCCUGGAGUAAGUGGAGCAGUCCAUUAACCAAAAGUGUUAAAAAAGCCCUUCAUGAAGAAAAAUUAUUUGGAGUGGAAUCACGUCAGGCACGAAGGAGAGCAUGCAUUGGUCAAUUCAGCACCUCAUGGAGUCUACAGGAAUAAUGGGUAACAAACCUAAGGAGUAGGUUUACCAUGUGUUUUGCAAAUAGCUCAUUUAAGCCUUAAAAAUGGGUUAUGGGGCAAAGUAACUUACGGAUCAAUUUUGGAGCUGAGAUUUGAUACACUUGAACUUCAAGGUAAAUUAAGUGACCUUCCAGAAGCUCAGAAGAAAAAGAGUAGAUUAAGUGUAUUUACCCACAUGCAUGAAUUUCGGGUUUAAAUUGGUGACAAGUGGGUGAACAUGUGUCAAGUGCUCCCAUCCCUCCCUUUGGCUAUAAAUAGAACCCUUAGGAUGUGUUUUUGAAGUUUAGAAACCCCUGAGCUUUCUCUCUCAGUCGAUCUUAUGGUUUGUUCUAGAGAGAGAAAAUGGCUUAAAACCGAUAAAAUUUUUGAGUAUGUGAGGUGAGUGUGGAAGGCUUUUGCGUGGCUUUAUCCUUGCUCUAGGAUCGGUUGUGGAGUGCUAGGAGUGGUGGUAACCUUAGGGGAUUGGGCGUUUGCAGGGUGCGGAGGACGAGGCCAGGCGUAGAUUUCCGUUGUUGUUUGCAAGGCGCAAGAUGUUGAUGUUGUCACUCGUUUUGUUUUUCAUGGGUACCCGUUGACUCGUUUGUUUUUAUUUUCUGCUGCGUUUAUCUUUAAGGACUUUAGUCGAGUUCCCGACUUUGUAAAAUAAAUAAAAUUAUGUUUGAUUUAAUAAAAUCCCCGUAGAACGCUGA